rnacentral:lncRNA from 1 species
UUUUUUUUUUUUUUUCGGUUGCACCUGCAGUAUGCAGAAGUUCCUAGGCAGGGAUUGAACCUAUGAACCUGUGCCACUGCAGUGACCAUGCCAUAUCCUUAACUCACUGAGCCCCAUGGGAACUUCUGUUUGACCUUUCUAAGGCUCAGUGUUCUUACAUAUAAAAUGAGAUAAUAAAAGCAUGAACCUGAUAGUAAAAAACAAAUAAAAUGAGAGAAGUAUGACAUCAAAAGACGCUUAAAGCUCAUUCCUAUUUAUAUCCAGACCUGUAGCUCUCGUAUAUAAAUUGUCUCCCUUUUUAUUAUGCGUCAUAAAGUGUGGUAAAUACUACAAAUAUUAUCUCAUUUCAUCCUCAUAAUAUUUGUUACAAGGAGGUACUGUUAUUCUACUUUCUAAUCCUUUUGUUUCUGUAAUAUUGAUAGUAAUAUCCCCUCUUUUCUGAUUUUACUUGUUUGAAGUCUUCUCUCUCCUUAAUCAAUCUAAACAUUUGUAAAUUAUUUAUUUAUUUAUUUUAUUUCCCCAAUACAUUAUUUUUUUUUCUACUGUACAGCAACUUGACCCAGUUACACAUACGUGUAUACAUUCUAUUUUCUCACAUCAUCAUACUCCAUCAUAAGUGACUAGACAUAGUUCCCAGUGCUACACAGCAGGAUCUCAUUGCUAAAUUUUGUUGAACUUUUUCAAGAAGCAACUCUUGGUUUUGUUGAUUUUCUCUAUUGCUUUUUCUAGUCCAUUUUUUAAAAUCAUAUUUUUCUGCUUUAAAGAGGAGGAAACUGAUGCCUAAUUUUUAAGAUGUUACAGAUCUGAGUCAAGAUUCAAACUAAGACUGUCAGGUUCCAAAGCUUAAUCUCAUCGGCUGUUUUGAAAAGAAGGCACCAAAUCUGGGUUCACACCAACGUUUAACUCACAGAAAAUUCAUUUUGUAAUUUUGCUAUGGCACAUCACAUUACUUGAUAUGCUAUGGCUUAAAUUUUAUUCCCUAGUAGUCACACUUAAGUACCCUCCUAUUUCUUUUCUUUUUAAAUACUUCAAGCGUGAAGUUGAGUACAGACAUAAUUAUAACUAAAAACUAUGUACUACCACCCAGCUUGGUCAGAUAUUAUAAUUUCAUCAAAUUUGCUUCAGAUCUUUUUUUUUAAAAAAAUAAAUCAUUACAGAAAUAAGCAUAUGAAUUCCUUCCUAAUUCCAAAAAUACGACUCUUCUUUUAAAUUUCCAUGCAUGUUUUUCUGCUUCUAAUACAUGUUUGCAACCAUAAACAAUAUGUAGAACUGUUUUGCCUAAUUUGAAACUUGGUUUAAAUGGUAUCUCACUGUCAGCAUCCAUCUGAGGUCUGCUUAUAUCGUUGAAUAUGUUUUAAAGAUUUUGCCACUUGGAUGGAAUUAGUGUAAAUUCUUUUAACAUUUAGAUAGUGUUUUAUCAUAUGUUUAUAUUCUGACUUAACCACUCAUAUUGAUGGACAUUAGGGUUGUUUCCAAGUUGUAAGAAUACAAAUAAUGCUGCAAUAAGUACAUAUAUAUAUAUUUUUUUGGCUGCACCAGUGACACAUGGAAGUUCCCAAGCCAGGGAUCAAAUCUGACCUUCAGCUGCAACCUACACCACAGCUGUAGCAAUGCCAGAUCCUUAAUCCACUGCACCAGGCAGGAUUGAACCCACACCUCCACAGUGACUAGACCUGCUGCAGUAGGAUCCUUAAUCCACCCUGCCACAGUGGGAACUCCUGCAAUGACUAUUGUUAUACUGCCAGGCCACAUAUUGUGAGAUUUCUCUAUUAAGCUGCAAGGCCAAGGAGUAUACUCAUCCUCAAAGUUAUGAGAUAUAACAAAAUGCCCUACAAAGUGGCAGCAGUAACUCACAUUAAACCAGCAUUAGUUCAUAUCAUUCCACACAUCUGGUAUUGCCAGGCUUUAAAAUGUUUUUACUCUGUUGGAGAUAAAAUAUUUCAUACUUUAACAUGCAUUUCCCUACCUAUGAGUGAGAUUAAACAUUCUUUUAUUUUUUAUUUUAUAUUUUUAUAUUAGUUCUUUUUCACUUCUGCUUUUUAUAUGCCUAUUUUUCUACUAAGUUGUUAAAGGAGGGAGACAAGACAUACUAAACAAAUAAGAAAGCAAAAUACCUAGGAUGUCAAAUGGUCAUAUACACUAUGGGAAGACCAGAAGCAGAGAAGGGGUGAGAAUUCAAUCUUAAAUAGAAUAAUUAGGGAAGAACUUAGCAGGAAGGCGACAUUUAGCAAAGUCCUAAAAUCAGUGCAGGCAGAAGCUAUAACGGGAAAAUUAUAACGUGAUCAGACAUGAAGUGGUACAUAGGGAUUUGUUAUGAUUAUAAGCUAUGAAAAUUUCUUUGCUUUGAACACAACUCUUUUCAGUUAUAUAUGUUGCAACUAUUUUUCCUAGUCCAAAGCUAACCUUCUUAUUUUGUUUACAGUGACACAUAAAACUUUUAAAAACUUAAUGCAAUAAAAUAUAUUAGUACUUUCCUUUAAGGUAGGUGUUUUUUGUUUGUUUUAUUCAAUAAAUCCUUUCCUAUCCCUGAGUCAUAAAGAUAUUCUCCUAUAGUUAUUUUUAAAGUUUUUAAAGAUAAGCCUUUUGCAUUUAAUGCACUUGGGACUGGUAUUAUUUAUAUGAUUUCGUGUUAGGAUUCAACAAAGUUUCUGUAUAGGUAUUAUGCAUCGUCCUUGUACCAUUUUAAUCUUAGUCUAUGCUGUCUGCAUUGAUUUGUAAUGAUAUACCUAUCAUACUUUAUGUGUAAAAUCAGCAUAGUUUAUUUUGGGGCUCUAGAUUUCAUUCCAUUUUUCUACUUUCUAUUUCUGUGCAAAUUAAUACUCACACUGCCCUAAUUACCACAACUAUAAUCUUACAUUUUCACAACUGGUAAGACCUAUCCAUCUAUGGCUCCUACAUCUGCCCUCCUUCCUUCCAUUCCUCCAUCUCAUCCAUCCAUCCAUCCCUUAUUAUUAUUCAUAAAUAUUUCUUUUGAGCCUAACUUUGCCAAACACUGGUUUGGCCCCUAGGGAUUUAAUAACAAAGUAAACAGAUAUCUCUACCCUCAUGGAGCUUACAUUCCAGGCAAUGGAGACAGACACUAAAAUAAACGAUAAAUAAGUAUGCCAGAUGGUGAUGAUGGCCAUGGAGACACAGGAAGCAGGGACGAGGAUCUAGCACAUGAUAACACCUGAUAUAAUACAAACACCCCAAAAUCUAAUGGGAUAAACAUGAACUUCUUUUCAAUACACACUAGACAUUUAGAGAUUGCAAUAAAAACUCAAGAUGCUCACGCUCGAAGUCUCGCAACAGUUUACAACUUUUGGUGAUUUAUUUCUAUCCCUAAGGGAUGGUAUAUGAAAAUGCAACCUGUCCUUGCCAGGCUGUGAGUACACAGGGAAGUUUAUUCUAGUCACCUGGGAGAAGAGAUCAGAGCACAUAUGCAUUCUGUCUGGUCCUUUACUUUGGCCUGACUUAAGACACUAGUCUUGGACCAGAAUGAGACUGCAGUUUGUCAGCUGGACAGCAUGGAAGCCUGGAAAAGUUUCUGGUUCUAGAGAGCUGGGAAUAAGCCCAGAGUUCAUAAACACAACUCCUUCACAAAAUACUAAUAUUUUACAAGCUGUCUGGAAGUGUUAUACACUUAAAAUUGAAUAAGCACUACUUUUGCUACCUCCCUCAACUUCUAGGGUAAAAAAGCCAAUGGAUCAUUGCUUUUAAAAGUUUAUUUAUAUGUUUUAGCCCAGUUGUCAAAUCUUUGGCAGUGAUCAUCAUUACCCUGUGUGAAGUUCAGUAUAUUUUAUUUUUAACCCACAAUGGGCUCUGCGUAACUCUAGGCAAGUUAUUUCACCCUUCUAAACGUCAGUUUCCUCACUUCAAGGCAGGGUAACAAUACCUAAUUGCAGACUUGUCGUGACUAUUAAGUACUAUUUUGAAAGACCUUAGGACAGUGACAGUAUGGGGUAGUCAUGGAAAAAAUGGCAGUCCCUAUCAUUAGAACUGUUAUACAAAUAAUCACAGAUAUUUGCCAAAGAUUUCUGAGACAUGGCCAUGUUCUGGUAUCUCUCUGGGUCUAGGACCUCAGCCUCUCUGGAACUGUUCCUGUCUGAGCAUAUAGAAGGUAAAUAUAUGAAUGGGGACCACAGGACCCAGUUCCAGCCCCAAGACUUUAUUAUCACCAACAUGUGAGGGGUGCCUGUGUCCCACUGAGAGCCACAACACUGUAAAUAGCAUCAAUUUGUUAGGGUUACCUCAUCUGCAUAUCCCCCAAACUUUACACCCUGCUGGAUGGGCACUGUAGAGCUGGCAUGUACACCAAUUACAUCCAGGAGUAAUACAUUAGGAUUGCUAAUUUGCAUACAACCAAUCAUAGAAAAGGUAACGCCCCCAGAGGAAUCAGGAAACCUCUAGGGGAGCCUAUCACGGUAAAGGAGUUCUCACUACAGAGUGUGAGGAUUCUUUACUGCAGCGGCUCCCUCACCCUCCUCUCUCCUAAUUUUCCAACCAGGCUCUGGCUAGAGGUCUGGAACUUGUUCUGACAAGAACUGUAGAUCCAAUCCACAGUGACAAUUUGCCCGCAGUGAGGACAGUGGGCAUACCCACAGGGUGACUAGUGUGCCAGCAGAAGAACCAUCUAAAGGUUUGAGUAAUGUGAACUUUAACCUCUAUUCCAAGUGAAUACAUGUGUCUGUGCGUGCGUGCUUGUGUGUUAGUAAGUAUGCAUGAGAAGGAAGGUUUAGUUGAGAGAAGCUAAAUACUUUUAUGUUGGAUACUUCUUUGCUAUAUUGAGUAAUUCUAUAAUAAAUAUUAGUCAUUAAAAAGAGAUAUCUCUGGUUUUAUUACAUCACAGACAGCAGAUGAAUAUAGUAUAGUUCACAGGUCUUGGACCUCCAGAGGCUUUGAGAGUCUGAUUCACCUAUUCAUCCAUCCGUCUAUCUCCCCCUCCAUUCUUAUACUUGAUAUGUGUUUAUCAGACUCUGUUAUAGUCCAGACACAGUUCUAGGUCCUGGUGAUACUGUGGUGCUCAUAGUCAAAUGGGGGUAAACAGGUAAGUGACGAUGACAGACUAGGAUUAACUCUAAGACAGAGAUAAGCACUAUCUGUUAAAAGAGCACAGAUGGGGUCUGGCUUAGAGGGAAGUCCAUGAACUUUACUUUAAAGCCAGUUUCAAAAACAAAACAAAACAAAAUGUUGGCACUGUUGCCUUGUCUGUUCCAGUUACUCUGGGUCAUCUAGUGUCUCCCCUACUCUUGCUUCUGCAUCCUGCAAUGUUCUCCUAUUUGUUGUCUUUAUGUCAAUUUCCCCAUCCUGCUCCUUGCUUUGUUCUUGGACUUGGUGGACUAUGGGUCUUCUCUGUUGUGACUUUCAAAACCUCUAUCUACAUAGUUUUCCCUCAUUCUAUGGAAAUUCUCAUUCUGAGAAUUUCAGAUAACGAACUGGCCCAGUUAAGUUCUCUGGGAGACCAAAGCCCACCCUUCUAAGCCCAGUAAAGCUGACUGUCCUCUGAGUGAGUUUUUGGGAGACUCCAGGCUCAAAGUCCCUUUGCCCUAUAGCCUGCCAUCUCCAGAUGCCCCCUGGAGGCACAAGUAGCCAGUAUAGGGCUGCCUACCAUGUGUGUCUCAUGGCUAAAAUUAAGGGCAGCAGGGCAGAAAGUGGAUCUGCUGACACCACAGUUAGACAAGCUUGCACUGAGGCUAUAAAACACCCUUGGCGGAGCACACCAGUAAAUUGUCCCACUAAUUAGUUUAUUAUUUCAUUUGGGAGAUCAAAUACAUAAAUAAAAUUAAUAAACCCU